AUUGAACGCUGGCGGAAUGCUUUACACAUGCAAGUCGAACGGUAGAGGGGGCAACCCCUCGAGAGUGGCGAACGGGUGAGUAAUAUAUCGGAACGUGCCCAGUCGUGGGGGACAACGUAGCGAAAGUUACGCUAAUACCGCAUACGAUCUACGGGUGAAAGCGGGGGAUCGCAAGACCUCGCGCGAUUGGAGCGGCUGAUAUCAGAUUAGGUAGUUGGUGGGGUAAAGGCUCACCAAGCCAACGAUCUGUAGCUGGUCUGAGAGGACGACCAGCCACACUGGAACUGAGACACGGUCCAGACUCCUACGGGAGGCAGCAGUGGGGAAUUUUGGACAAUGGACGCAAGUCUGAUCCAGCCAUUCCGCGUGCAGGAUGAAGGCCCUCGGGUUGUAAACUGCUUUUGUACGGAACGAAAAGGUUUCCAUUAAUACUGGGAGCUCAUGACGGUACCGUAAGAAUAAGCACCGGCUAACUACGUGCCAGCAGCCGCAGUAA
rnacentral:rRNA from 1 species